UUCUCAUCCCACCGUCCUGGAACAAGACUGGUAUGUUCACUCGCAGCUCCAAGAAGAGAGAAUCCAGUAGAACGCUGAACACCCUUGCUGAAUCAGAGAGUGAACAGCUGUGUAACGUGUGUGGAGACCAGUGACCGGGCUUCAUUCUGCACCAAUGGAGUGUUGUGUUCGAGACCACCUAAAGUGAGACCGAUCCAAGACCGGAGAAAAUCUAGUCCGAGUCAAGACCAAGACCAGAAGGGGUCAAGACAGAGUCCAGACCGGGAAGGGGACGAGGGAUCCGAGACCAGAAAAAUGCGAGUCCAAUUCAUGGUGGCAAUAUUGUCAAAUUGCCACCAUAAGAGUUCAAAAUGUCCAAUAUUUCUGUGUUCAUAUUUCAGAACAACAUAUGGAUUCUUUAGACAUUCAGAAUGGUGUAAAUAAAAUGUAUGCUGAGGGAAAAUAGAGACAGUCUACAAAUUAUUACUAACCCAAACACAGUGGGAAACAAUGAGGGCCUUCUAUGCCUUCAGAGAAGGGGUAAGGAUUUAUAAAAUAAUUGUAUUAUUUAUUUUUAUUCUUUUCAAUGAUGUUCUGAUUUAAUCUCUUCAGUUUUUGUUGGAAAGUUAAGACCAAAGAGAAAAAAGCUCCAAUGUGGAUUUUUCUUUGGUGGUCUCUCAGAGGAGAUAAAUAUAGCUAGCCAAGUCAGCCAUUGGCAAGGCAUCAGAAGCUAGAUAGAAGGCAUCUGCCAUUCAACUAUUAAGGGAAAAAUGUUGAGUGACAGUGUAAUCAACCAAUCACAUUUAGACUUGAAAUGGGUGUGACUGUUUUCACAAAAACAUAAAAACACUGUGCAAUUGUGAGCAGUAGUUGUCCCACGGUCUAGCUUGCUAGCUUUUGUUGUAGGCUAGUUUGCAGUGGCUCCAGCAGGUGUAUCGAAGGUGUUGCUAAUUUGUUAGCCUCUCCCUUUUCAAGAAUAACUUUCAACAGCAAGAGUAGUGGUGGAAUAGUUUUUUUUUAUCUUUGAAAAUAACUUGUUUCACACCCUGAGCGGUUUCACCUGUCUUUGUGAUUGUCUCCACCCCCCCUCCAGUGGUUGCCCAUCUUUCCCAUUAUCCCCUGUGUAUUUAUACCGGUGUUCUGUUUGUCUGCCAGUUCGUCUUGUUAAGUCAUCAGCGGUUUUUGUAUCAGCACCUGCUUUUCCCCAGUCUCUCUUUUCUCGUUCUCCUGGUUUUGACCCUUACCUGUCCUGACCCUGAGCCCCCCCGCCUGACCACUCUGCCUGCCCCUGACCCUGCCUGGCAUCCUGUACCUUUACCCUGUUACUGUAAUAAGCAUUGUUACUUUACGUUAUUAUUUCCGUACUUGCAUAAUUAAUAAAGAUUAUAUUUAUAUACAACAAUAAAUCUGGUGUUUGUCAGUGUUAUUAUGUGAUGUAUAUAAAGUGCAAUAUUGGGAUGCAAACUCAAAAUUGAAUAAAUG
rnacentral:lncRNA from 1 species